UACGAAAGGAGCAAGUGUUAUUCAGAUUAACUGGGCGUAAAGGGCACGUAGGUGGUUUAGUUUAUGUGUAUUAUUAAAUUAUAAAGCAUAACUUUAUAAUGUAGUAUAAACAGCAAAACUAGAGUUAGGUAGAGAGUAGUAGAAUUCUAAUGUAAGGUGAAAUUUGAUAAAUUAGAGAGAAUACCAAUGGCGUAAGCAACUACUUG
rnacentral:rRNA from 1 species